AUCCAGAUGACGAGUUCCAAAUAGGACGAAACGCGUGUCCUGGAU
rnacentral:hammerhead_ribozyme from 1 species